AGGAAAUAAUUUAUCUAUUUUACUUGCUACCUGCAAUGAAAACGAAAGUUUUGGGACUGUUGCCAACUUCUCAUUAUGCAUCUGAACUUUUCCCAAAUUAAAGGGUUCAAUAACUCUUUCCUCACCCAUAGAAAUAAGGCUAAGAUAAUUUAUGCGUGUGAAUGGCUUAGAUAGCUUCCUGCGAUGAGACUGAAAAUAACAAGGCCUUUUAGGGGAGAGAAACAACAUACCAAGACCAGCAUUUCAGCUCUGGUUAAAAACCCACUUAAAAGCCAUCGUUUUAAAACCCAUUUUCCAAGGGAUCCUUGAGUCAAGGCACCUCUCAUUAGACUCAAGAACCCCUUGUAAAAUGCCAGCUCUUAGCUUUCACUCAUUGCUCGACUAGUCAUUGCCUAACUAUGAAAAAAUAGUAGAGCAAUUGUUCUGUUGCAAGGAAAUCAGAAAUGCAACAACAGGUCGGAAUGGUUCUGACACUGAAUUUCCUAUUUGAAAUCUCUGGGCUUACCUUAUGAAUUAUGUGUAUGCGUUUGUACAUGUAACAACGCUAAUACUUCAUGGCACCCUGUGGCAGCCUUAAAAGGAUCUUGCAUCACCCUGGUUGAGAAUCACUGAAUUAUACUCAUGGAAAAUUCCCAAGCAGCUUGACACCGAUCCCUCUAUUACAACCUAGUCCAACAUAAACACAGAUACAUAUAUGCACUUGGCAACUGCCCCAAUUAGGGAUGGGUCCUUCCUACCAAGCUUUAAUUCAGACCCAAAUAUUGCCAGAGUUGAUUCAGGGUUUUGGGACUGUUGCCAACCACACAUUAUGCAUCCAAAUUUUCUCCAAAUUAAAAGGUGCAAUAACUCUUCCCUCACCCAUAGAAUUAUUAAGUCUAAAUUAAUUGAUGUGUGUGAACAGCUUAGAUAGCAUGUUGUGGCUGUAGGAGUGUUCAUAAGAGACUGUACUUCAUUUCCUGGCCUUGGUCACAUGACAAAGGAGAGGGCCAUGAAAGGUUUUACGUCUGUCUCAAAGCUCUGUCCAACAGUUUCUUUUAUAGCAAUUAACACUAUAGAAAUAGCCAUAAAACAAGCAGAGCAGAGAGCACUUGGAAAGUCAAGAAGAAGCAAACCUUAAAGUUAGUAUGUUUAAAAGUAUCCCAUCAUUUUUCUCAUUGUAGAACUCAGGAGCUAACAUAUGAGACCAUGACUCCUCAAAAUCUGUUGGAGGUGGUCACAUUUCUGGUUUUUGUUUUGUGGAUUGAUUCUAAAGUAUUGAGCCGACUAUGCAUUUUAAUUGAUUUUGUUUGUUUGUUUCAGUACAAUAAAAAAUGCAAUCCUACCAAGGAUACUUGGGAACAGUAGAAAAGUAGAAAUAUUAAUGGCAUGUUAUUGUGGUUAGCUUUUCAGUUUAUUUUAAAUUGUAACCAUAAUUACAUUUUGAACUGCAUUUUUAAGCCCUUGUCUCUGUUAUUUUCAAGAUCCACUCCAGAUCCUUCAGGGGCUGUGGUGAUAAUGAAACCUUCAUAUGGAUUGGCAGAAAGCAAUCAGUAUAAAUAACACAUACUUUAUUUGCUUGCUUUUACCCUUUUAUUUUCAACCAUAUUUUGUAUUGCAUUUCUGUGUGUUUGGUUUUGAAAAUAACCCUAGACUUUUCAUUUUAUGUGGCAUCAAGUCUUGGCACUGAAAUUAAAAGACGGGAUUGAGCAAAUUAUGAAAUUUCUGCAUCAGCACAACGACUUGAAAGUCAUCAUUAUCCUCUAAGCCCUGCCUUUGUCAAUACUAUGUUCAGCUACUGAACAGGACUCAGCAAUAUAACAUACUCAUCAGAGAUCUAGAAGAGAGAGAGAGGGAUGAGGUCCAGAAUUUAUUUGCUGAAUCUUGAAAUGCAAACCAUUCAGAGCAUUAAUUUGGGAGCGAGGCAGAAUAAGCAAACAUUAUGAGAGAAAAAACCUGCUUUUUAAUACACACUAGGCCACUUUCAUCCUUGACAUGACUCCACAGAACUCUAAAUAUUGCAAAGAAGACAUAGCAGCAUGGGCCGGGAACCAGCCCCUAACAGGAUUCCUGUAGCUUUUGCAUUAAGGACCCUGGCACCACAUCUUUACUGCUAUGGAUACUUGUGCUAGCUGGAUUAAAUCCACAAUCACACCUUCAUUUUGUGAAGACACUGGCUUUUCAGUAAGAGGGAUGGAUGACAAUGCCUUUCUUUAAAGGUCCUGUAAAACCAGUCUUCCAAAGAAUUACAUAGGAGGAAGUGCUGCCUUUCUCAACAGGCUUUUGUUCUUUUCCUUUAAAUGGAGAGAAGCCGUGCUCCCAUAAGAUUUUGUUGCUGUUGUGUGGAUCUCUGUGAAAGUGUGUGCAUGUGUUUGUUCUGUGCUGAUGCAUAGCAUAGUUGGCAGACAACUGUUUGUGGCUAUAAUCUGGUCAACUGGAGUUCUUUAAUUGGCAGCAUGCAAAGUCUCACGUGUGGAGUGAUUGUGACACCAACAGCUUCAUUUAUAAAAAGUCUGGUCCUGCUUUGCCAUCCCUCUUCUCCUUCCCCAGCUGGCUUUCUCUUCCUUGUUUUUUUCCUGCUUCCCCUCUCUCUCUGCAGUACUCAUAAGCUUCUUUCGCUUCUUCUCUUUCAGCAGGAGUCUGGAUGUAUGGUUCUAUAUUAAGUGCUGGGAAUGCUGGAAAACUGGACAUCUUUUCAUCAUGCCCACUCUAGAAGACUACACAGGACCAUUUUAGUGGUCAUCAUAUUGUGACUUCAUGUGAUUUUGCACUACUCAGAGCCUUCCAAGGUUAGAAACACAGGCUAUACCCAUUAGGAAGAAAAGAUGGAUAGCUUUCCAAAAGCAAAAAGAUCCCUUAGCCCUGAUGGCUCAAAGUAUAUUAGAGCUGGUAAAAAAAAUUACCCUGAAACUUCUCCCCUCCCCCUCAUUUUUAUUACUUUUAAAAACUUUCCAUUCUCUGCGUGCCUAGACACACACACACACACAAGGACUAGCUGUGCGAUAAAUUGUGGCACAGUGUAACAUAUUUAAUGUAUCUUGCAUCUCGGAUUUUCUCACAUGCCUGCUAAUCCUGUUCAGCUGGGGUUACUUCUAAAUCUCUGGACCCACAAGCAAUUUCAGAGUCACCACUUGAAAGAAAGAGCCUAGAUCUGUUUUCAUCCCUCAGAUGAAUCUUGUCUAGAUGAAGUAUAUGUGCAUGUGUGUCCAGCAGGGGGAGUUAGUUUAUCUCUUUUUAAAAAUGAACUGGGGCUGCGUGCAAAGAGCACUGCAAGCUCAAAUCCCACAAAAUUUUUCUGUCAAACUUGUCAUUUUUCAAGUGAGUUGUAUGCUCAGACUAGUUUCAUCUACUGUUCCAAUUGUACUAGGUAGGAGAAUGUCAGUCCCUUCUGGCCAGUGCAUUGGAUAAAAACCUUUGGGUUAGGAGAAGGAGAAUUUCAUUUCCCAUUUCCUUUCAAAAUAUGAAGAAAGAAUUUCUUCCACUGUGUUGAGUCCUAGGAAUUAGGAAAAAAACACCCCAUACUGGCUCAGCAGCUGGCUGGCAUAAAAGAGGCGUCAUAUUCUCAGUAUUAAAUAUUUCUUUUUUAUUAAAUUAAUAUACAAGUGAGCAGUAUAGAGAUUCCUUCUACAUCUUAACCACACUUAGAGGGACUUAAGUUAUUAAUGCCAAAUAUAAUAAAAAUGUAUUCUAAUCUUGGUCAUGUUUCUGGUUCUCAUUUGCUGUCUGCCAUCUUAUAUUUCUCUGCCUCUUUCUCUUUCCAGUUCCUCUGUUUAUAUUAUGAUUCUUGCUUGUCUCUCUCUGUCUCCAGACUUCCUUAGACCCCAUCCUUUUCUAAGAUUUCCUUUAUUCUCUCUAUCCACCAGUUAGUUUCCUUUAAUUUUUUCCUCUUCUGUAUUUCUUCACUUUCAGUCUUUUAUUAAUGUUUAGAAAUAUAUAUGGUGGGAGAGGAGCCCUUAUUCCCUUUUCUCUGAUUUUCUUUAAUCUUUUCUUCCCUGGGGCCUGUUCCAUAUUCUGCUGAAAACUGUGAGCAUCUUUUGCCUGACUCCAGUGGGGAACCUGUCCAGAGGCGGUAUCGCCCUUCCUUUGGCUUCCUGAGCAGCAGUCAAAUAGCUUGAAAUUGUUUCGUUUCUUCAAGAAAAAAUAAGAGGCACAACUCCAUGCUGUACCUAGCCACAAUCAAGGGCAGACCGUCCUAGUGCUCAGGAUCAAAUUCAGUCCAGACCGGAUAGACUAAAAAUCAUUCCCAUCUGACGUCCAGGAAAGGUCAGAAGUUAAAGGAGUACUGGCAGUCGUGAGCCAGUUCCCAGCUUGCGAGUCUUGGCUGCAGGUUUUUCUGGAGUCUUGUCUGCUUUCUUAAAGGCAGUGUCAAAGGAAGUUUGGACAGAUGUUCUCCAGGGACAUAGGCGACACAGCAAACUGGUUCACUGGCAUGGCGUGAUGUUGGAUCAAGCAUUGUAAAACUGAUGUCAGAAAGUUGAAACAGGGUGUCAAUUUAUACACAUUGUGCCCCAUGGGCCAGAUAGAAUGGCCUGGCGGGCCCUGCAGGCCAUAUUUUGCCCAUCCCUGGUGUAACCCAACUUGGAGCAGAAGCUGAAGUUGUAAUUCUGGUCCUGUUUUUCACUUUGAAUGUGGAUAUGUGUUCUUCUGGGGAAACACUGAAGCUGAAGAAUGGGAGGUGUCACAGGUCUAGUCCAAAUGGUUAUUUGGUACUAGUGCUUUAAUUCUAAAUCACAAUAUUUUGGGGCAAUAAAGAAGACUGACUUUAAUGCAGUGUGUUCUUGAGAUUCUUGGAAUGUUUGCAAAGUACUUCUCAUUGUGGUCUUUGUACCAAAAGCAUUUCUAUUCCCACUACCACCACUUUGCACUGUGCCCCAGGCACACAAGCACGGGGUCGGUACAAACCGGGAGGAGAGACCCCAAAAUCAGAAAUUACUUGCCUAUCUCAGGUUGCCUGAUGCAGGCAGAACAACGCCAAGGAGAAAAGCCCGCGCAGUUCAUCAGCCGCACUCAUAUACAGCUAAAGCCGGCGGGUCACGUCAUGGAUGCAUGCUGGCCAGCUGAAUUAAAAGCUGGCAUGAGCGGGAGUGGCAGCAGAGCCUGCGGUGGCUCUCUAUGCUGGUGGCAAGCAGCGUCAGCAAGUUGAAAGAGAUCCUGAUUGGGGAGGAAUGAUCCGGGCAGCAGUGGCUGCCCAAAGCCCUCAUGGGGAGCACCAGAUUGCUGGAGAAAGCCUCGUCCAGGAAUGAGCAGUGAAAGCAGCAGAGAAGGCGGCUCCACACCCCAGGCUCCAGCUGCAAAGGAUGGGAGGAGGGGAGCUGACUGGGAGAGGAGCAAAGGGAGCUCCCACCAGAGAUGGAGAGGGGAGCAGCACUGGGGGACGCAGCCAGGCACUGGCUCCAGGACAGGGAGAGGAGAAGGACUGUGUAUCCUGAUCUCCCUCUUUUCUACCUGCCCUCUUUUUUAUUUUGUUGUGUCCUUUUUCUUUUGUGUUCUCUUACUGGUAUAUUACACUGUGUAAUUUUUUUCAUUUCAUUUUCUUCUUACUCUUGCUUUGAGCAGUAAUCUGGAGUCGUGAGGUCCGGAGGACAAAAACGAGCCACAAGGGCUGCUCACAGGAAUCAGUCAUCAACAGCGUUGAACAUGAAAAGAAGAGCUGCAUGAGUGGUGAACAUCCUACUAACCCAAAGUCCGUUAGGUGGAAGAAAAUAGGACCAGAUACCCAAGGAAGUGUGAUGAGCAAAGACCAUCAAGACUGGAGGGCAAGCCGCAUUGACAUCAGGCAGCCUGUCUAAGCUGGCAUAUGGAAGGGGUGCAGGAGAGGUGGAGCCCUGUGAAUAUCCAUCAGGAAGAAUGACUGAUCCAGAGGGACCUCCAACAAGAGACCUCACCACUGAGGUUACUUUUAAAGACGUGGCAGGUGAGUUUUGGGGUACUCCCCGGAGAGAAUGAGGUCCCUACGAGAGGUUACGUGAAGCCUCUAUGUGUCCAUCACCAGGUGCCCGUGCCAAGACGACGCAAGAACGGAUUUUCAAAGCAAGACGGGCACACACUGAUACUGCAUCUUUCAUUCCAUGUGGUCCAAAUGCUUUUUAAGACCUUAAAGUUCUCUUCAAUGAAGAUAAGCAUUAUUUCUGCAAAAGAUUAUAGAGAUGUACAAAAUGGUUAAGGUGCUUUCCUAAACUCACAGAUAAGCCAUUGACAGAGCCGCAAGUAUAUUCUAGGACUUUAAGAGCUUGUUUACCCUGGGAAAAUUUUCUAAUUUGCUUUCAAUUCCUUCGCCACCCCCCCCCCCCCCAAUUGAGCUGAAAUCAAAUGCCACCUAUGUAUAGGUAUGCACUACAAUUCUAACUAGCUUUUAAAACUGAUUUACCAGAACUGAUGCUACAACUGGGUUAGAAUAUUUCUCUGUUGUAAUUAGAGUCCAGUUCUCCUGCUGCUGCCACAAGGUAACAUGUUCUUUUUGGGUAACUUGCUGUUUUCCAUUGUUUGAGAAGCUGCUCAAAGAAUGUAUUUUUGAAUCCAUGCUUCAACACACAAACUAAUGUGCUUAGAAGAGAAUGAAGUUUAUAUAAGGAAGGAACAAAAUUAGAUAGUAAUCAAUCAUUUUCUGGUUACCUGUUUGCUACCAAAAUCUUUUUGAAUUGACAUUUGCCCUAAAGGUCUCUGUCUUCAUUUUUUUAGGUAUUUUCAUUACAGUUAAUAAAAGUCUUUGAAAAUUCAAUAUCCCAUUUUUCUAUAUACUAUUUAAAUUAAAGCUUGCAUUGUAGCUCAAGGAUAGUAAGUAAAAACAUUUCUUCUGGUACUGAGUGACCAUGUGGACAAUGGGAUAACUUACAUCAUUUAAGAUUAAGUUUUAAGAUAAAGAUUUAUACCUUUUUUUACUGUGCUGGUAUCUUAACUGCUGGCAAUUUCUGCAGGAAGGUGCGCAGGGUUCUUCUUGCAUAUGUAGUUGGUGAAGCAAGGAACAAUGAAUACACUUCAUACCUUCUUUAUGAUGAAUUAAAGGUUUGAAAAGACAGCUUGUACAUUUGUCAGAUACUACUAUCAUGAUAGUGGAGAGGGUGAACAUUUCCUUUUACUUCCUAGAACUACAGUGAAUAAAGACUAAUCACAAAACAGAAAAAAAAUCUAGAUUUCUGGUGCAUGGUGUGGGGUGGUGGUGUGUGCAAAACCCAUUGACACAGCAAUAAAAACAGGGGAAAUGUCUGGCCUAUCUGUCACUUGACUGAAUGGCCAGCACAACGGACCUCUGGUUUUGCCAAAUUGUUUUUGUUGUCACUUGAACUCCCUACCCCUGGACAGCCUGUUUUGCAAAACAAAGCAAAAAAUCUACUUAAAUGUUACGUAUCAAGACCUUCCAGCUAAGUAUGUUUGCUUUACAGCUCCUCCUCACUUUUACAAAAAAUCUAAAUCUGGAAACAUGCUAAAUAUUGUCGAGGAAACUAACUAUGCAAAUAUUCUGUUGAUUGUAUGUAAUACAUGUUUAUUAUUAUGAGUCAUUAGUAAGUCUAAAAUUGAUGCAGUUUACAAAUUUCCCUCUCCUAUCACUGCUGCUUAUAGCACAGAGGCUGAUCUAGUUCAUGGUGGUGUAUGUAUACUACUUGGAAACAAAAAAGUGUGUGAUAAAUAAAAAAGUUGGCAUCUUUCUGCUACUUGAAGCUAAAUAAAUUGAGAUGGUUGAUUUGUGGGGAUGUAUUCUAGGGGACAGUUUUAGUCUAAUUAUAAUGAAAAGCUAUAACUGCUCCUUUAUUUGAUGCAAUACAAGCAUAAAAUGUACUCAGUGAGGCUGAAUUGAACUGCUUGGUAAAAUUAUGGCUGCGUCAAAUGGGUCUGAAAUUUCAGACUUCUUCCAUGCUCUCUCUCAGGCUUGAUUGUGAAAGAUUGUUGGGUUGUGUUGGCCUGGGCUGAGGAUCACUGGGUUCAGGGUAAAACUAAGCCAAGUGUUCUGUCUUAUGGAACAUGGUAGAAGGUUCCUUUGUAAUUCUUACUGAACCAGUAGAACUUGAAAGUUUUAAACUGAACUCUUUUCCUGUAUAUAUCUCUUAAAAAAACCUCUCAAGAAAUUAAAUGGAAAAAUAAAAACAAAUAAAUAAAAAGCCCCCAAAACAAAAUGCAACCCCCUAGCAAUAAACCCUAAGAUAUCAUAGCAUAGAUAAGCACUUACAUCAUUUAAUUUUGCUCUACCAAGACCAAAGGGAGAUGUACAUUUGACUCAGUGAAUGCAGCAUCAAGCCCUCAAAAGGCAAGACAUUUAAAAAAGUUAACCUUGUUACACCACAAAUGCCCAAAUGUUGUUGCCAUGACAUAGGUAGUAUGAAUUUGGGCUUCUAUUUUGCAGUAGGUAUCUGUUUCCUUUAAGGCAGGAGAGCAUGGCCAGCCCAGAGCUGCCCAUGCUGUCCAGCUACCCAGAACAGAUACUCCUGGGACUACACAUUCCCAGGGCAUGCGGGAUUAGAAUCCUGAGGCCCCAGGAGCACCUGCCCAAACUCCCCUGUUUGCAGAGGUGCACCCCAGGAAUCCUCUGGUGGAGGGUUCCCAAGGUGUCUAUCACCUUGUUGCUCCUUGACUUGGGGUGCACUUCUGUGAAUGGGGAAACCUCAGGUGAUACUUUGCUAGCAGGGAAACCUGAGGAUCUCCUUUUUGCAGAGGCAAGUCCUGAGUGUUAUCCCACAUGACUGGGUCCCAGCUGUUUUUUGGGAGUGGCAGGGGCCUGACCCUGUGGGACACGCAUGAUAUCUGUUUUGUCCAAUGAAAUGGAUUAGCUGUGCUAGGACACAUCUCAGCACAGCUGAUCCGCUUCAUUUUACAAUGCCUGUUUAUAUCCUUCGAUAGGUUUGCCAAACAAUUUCCUCCACAACAUCCUCCCACUGUAAAUGAUGCCAUUUCAUUAUGAAUGUGCUACUGUCCUAGACUAAUGUACCAAUUUUUUAUUUUUAGUGAGGCUAUUCAUCCCCAAAAAGCAACUUUUAUUUAAAGAAAAACUGUGUAAUUGUUAUGUUAUUCCUUAUCCUCUGCAGUGCCAGCUGCAGUGCAAUUCAUUUGCCUUGUUGCUUUCAAACCCCCUUAUUGCUUUUUGUUUUGCUUGUAAAGAUUAAUUUGACUUUGCCUUGUAGAGGCACUAAAACAUAAACAUAUAAAGAAUUGUAAUUUUACAUUUCAUAGAUUUCAUAAACAAUAGGGCUGGAAGGAACUUCAGAAGAUCAUCAAGUCCAGCCCCCUGCCCAAAGGCAGGAAGUCAGCUGGGGUCAUAGGAUCCCAGCAAGAUAAGCAUCCAAUUUACUCUUGAAGGUGUUCAGUGUAGGUGCUUGAACCACCUCUGAUGUCAGGCUAUUCCAAACCUUGGGGGCUCGGACAGUAAAGAAAUUCUUCCUUAUGUUCAGCCUGAAACAGUCUUGCAGUAGUUUAUAACCAUUUGACCUUGUCAUCCCUUGGGGCGCUCUGGUGAACAAACGUCCCCCCAGAUACUGGUGGUCACCCCUGAUAAACCUAUAGGUGGCCAUCUCAUCGCCCCUGAGCCUGCGCUUUUCCAGGCUAAAGAGCCCCAUAGCUCUCUUCCUGUCAUCGUAAGGUCUGUUUUCCUGCCCUCUGAUCAUGCGCGUGGCUCUUCUCUGGACUCUCUCAAGCUUCUCCACAUUCUUUUUGAAUUGUGGGGCCCAAAACUGGAUGCAGUACUCCAGCUGUGGCCUCACCAAGGCCGAAUUAAAUGGGAGAAUGACGUCCCGGGAUUUGCUUGAGAAGGAUCUAUGGAUGCAAGCCAGUGUUUUUGUCGCUUUACUAGUUUCCCCAGAUUGGGGCCAGCUGUGAUGAGAAAGCACCUGCUAUUAGAGGCUAUUUUAAAUACAAUAUAGUGGAAAAGGGAAAGUUUAAUAGGUAGAAAGCGGGGCAGGGGACAAGUUGGAGACUGUUUUGCCUUCUGCCUGACUUUGGAGUAACAUGGCUAACUGCCUCUACCCAUAGGACAAAUUAAUGUGUUUUCUUCUAUUUUGUUUUAAUGAGUUGCAUUCAUGCCAAGCAGCAAACAAUAUUCUUGAGGCUUACAGAAUAGGACUGGGAGUUGGGAUAUUUUGCUUUUUGAUCUGUCACUGGUUUUAGAUCAGUUGUUUCUUCGGUCUGUAACGGGAAAUUAAUAAUAAUACUUACCCAUCUCUCAGGCUUGCUGUAAGGCUUAAUUAAUGUGUGUAAAACUCCCCUGGAGAUAUUUCAGUGGAAGGUGUUAUAAAGUAUAAGUGCUAGAAAAAUAUAAAUGACAAGGGGAUAGAUUGUACCCUCAGCAAUUUGAACUGAAGACAAAGCUGGGGGAUGUAGUAGACAUGCUGGAGGGUAGGGCUAGGAUUCAGAGUGACCUAGACAAAUUGGAGGAUUGGGCCAAAAGAAAUCUCAUGAGGUUCAACAAAGACAAGUGCAAAGUCCUGCACUUAGGAUGAAACAAUCUCAUGCACCGGUAUGGGCUUGAGACCAAAUGGCUAAGCAGCAGCUCUGCAGAAAAGAACCUGGGGGUUACAGUGGACAAUAAGAUGGAUAUGAGUCAGCAGUAUGCCCCUGCCAAGAAGGCUAACAGCAUGCUGGACUGCAUUAGUAGGAGUGUUGCCAGCCUAUCGAGGGAAGUAAUGAUUCCCCUCUCUUCUGGACUGGUGAAGACACAUCUGGAGUACUGUGUUCAUUUUUGGGCCUCCUGCUACGGAAAGGAUGUGGACAAGCUGGAGAGCAUCCAGCAGAGGGCAACAAAAAUGGUUUGGAGGCUGGGGCACAUGACUUCUGAAGAGAGGCUGAGGGAAGUGGGUUUAUUAGUCUGCAGAAGAGAAGACUGAGAAGGGAUUUAAUAGCAGCCUUCAACUACCUGCAGCGUGGUUCCAAAGAGGAUGGAGCUAGACUGUUUUUAGCAGUGACAGAUGACAGAACAAGGAGCAAUGGUCUCAAGUUGCAGCAAGGGAGGUUUAGGUUGGAUAUUAGUAAAAACUUUUUCACUAGGAGGGUGGUGAAGCUGGAACAGUUACCCAGAGUGGUGGUGGAAUUUACAUCCUUGGAGGUUUUUAAGACUUAGCUCGACAAAGCGCUGGCUAGGCUGGUCCUGCUUUGAGCAGGGGGUUGAACUAGAUGACAUCCUAAGGUCCCUUCCAACCCUCAUUUUCUGUGAUUCUAUGACUCUUUCCCUCCUCCUGUCUGCCCACCCCCCUCCACCCCCAAUAAAUUGUGACAGCAUCCCGUAUUAAAGAAUUGUGGCUCCUGUAAAACAGGAAAGAAAACUCAUUAGGUUAACACAAAAAUGAAUUUUAUAAAGAAAACCUCAGGGACUGGGAGCACAUACAAAAAAUUUCUACAGGAAAAGGUUCAAGGGUCAUAUAUUCUUACAUAUGACAUUUAAUUAACAAGAAAACUUGCCCAAAUAAAUGUUUCCACUUGUUACUGUAUGAGAAUCUAUCAUUUGUCCUUAAUUGUAUCAAUAAACUGACAGCGUCUAUGGAGAAUCAUUGCCAUAGCAAUAUUGCAUGCAUUAGCAAAUGUACUGUAUAAAUUAUUCUUCAGAAACUGAAGAACUUUGAAUUUGAUUGUGAAUAACUUGCAUACCAGCAAAUGGAAAUGAAUUGAUACUGUC